UUGCCUGGGAGGGUGUCUGCGUGGAGCCCAGCGCUGCGGAGAGCAGCUCGCACACACAUCUCACGCUCGCGUCCAUCCUCCGUCAGGCGGAGGUGCAGGGAGGAGCUGCAGGGCUGUGUGGACGGUGGUUCAUUCAUUCACUCCCUGUGCAGUGAACCUCUGGGGAGCCUUGGGUCUGCGCACUGCAGAGGACGAGAGAGGUGACAGAGCCAGCUGCCCUCCUGGCCCAGGAGCCGCUGCACUGCUGCAGGGUCCCUGGAGGACAGCUCCGCCCAACCUCCUUUUCUCACCUGCACAGCCUUGGACUCUCGUGACCUUUCAAGCAUGCAGGUCCUUAGGUGCUGGAAGAAUUUGAGGGGUGGAGCCUGAGCACCUGCUGUGUGCCUGAUAGUGUGGAUAAUGGGUCCACCUUGGUGAGAGAACAGGGGUGACCCCUGGGACCCUUGAUCUGGACCAUGAGUCCUAGAUCUGGACUAGGGAUGCUGGGCCCAGACUGAAGAACCUAACCUGGGCAGCACACCUGCAACAGGAGGAGGGCAGCAGAUGCCCUCCCAGUGGCCCCAGGGCCUUUCCCUGCCUCUAGUCCCCACCGUUCCCGGCUCUCCCACCUGCGAGUUCUUUGUCAGCCAGACACGGGUGUGGUCCCAGGGUGGCUCUGUGCUGAGGCACAAGGUCAGCACAUCCACAUCCGUCCUGCUGCAUGCCUGGCCUUCUGCCCCACCUUAGUCCUUCCUCCGGGCCCAUCAGCAACCUAUAAAGUAGCUGGGCCUCCCCCCCAGCUCCAAGUCCCCAUC